UUGAACGCUGGCGGCAUGCCUUACACAUGCAAGUCGAACGGUAGAGGGGCAACCCUUGAGAGUGGCGAACGGGUGAGUAAUGCAUCGGAACGUGCCCAGUCGUGGGGGAUAACGCAGCGAAAGCUGUGCUAAUACCGCAUGUGAUCUGUGGAUGAAAGCAGGGGACCGCAAGGCCUUGUGCGAUUGGAGCGGCCGAUGUCAGGUUAGCUAGUUGGUAGGGUAAAGCCUACCAAGGCGACGAUCUGUAGCUG
rnacentral:rRNA from 1 species